UUGCCAAAAAGACGUUUACGUUAUGCUCGUAGGCGUCGCCCAAGGAUGAGGCCGCGACCGAUCAGGUUGUUGGUGAGGUAAUGGCUCACCAAGCCUUUUACCGGUGCGGGCCGUGAGAGCGGGAGCCCGGAGAUGGGCACUGAGACAAGGGCCCAGGCCCUACGGGGCGCAGCAGUCGCGAAAACUUUGCAAUACACGAAAGUGUGACAGGGCUAUCCCGAGUGCCAUCCGCUGAGGAAGGCUUUUACCCAGUCUAGAACGCUGGGGGAAUAAGGAGAGGGCAAGUCUGGUGUCAGCCGCCGCGGUAAUACCAGCUCUCCGAGUGGUGUGGAUGUUUAUUGGGCCUAAAGCAUCCGUAGCUGGCUGAGUUAGUCCCUUGUUAAAUCCACCGAAUUAAUCGUUGGAUUGCGGAGGAUACUGCUCGGCUAGGGGACGAGAGAGGCAGACGGUAUUUCCGGGGUAGGGGUGAAAUCCUAUAAUCCCGGGAAGACCACCAGUGGCGAAGGCUGUCUGCUAGAACGCGCCCGACGGUGAGGGAUGAAAGCUGGGGGAGCGAACCGGAUUAGAUACCCGGGUAGUCCCAGCUGUAAACGAUGCAGGCUAGGUGUUUGGACGGCCACGUGCCGUUCUAGUGCCGCAGGGAAGCUGUUAAGCCUGCCGCCUGGGGAGUACGAUCGCAAGAUUGAAACUUAAAGGAAUUGGCGGGGGAGCACCACAAGGGGUGAAGCUUGCGGUUUAAUUGGAUUCAACGCCGGGAAUCACUAUUGAAUUCUCCG
rnacentral:rRNA from 1 species